UUUAAUAUGAUUAUUUUAGGUGCUGAUAUAGUUUAAAAGAGAAAGUGGUGAGAAGCCACUGCAGCCCCCGCUACUGUAAGAGUUGACAAAUCCCAUUUAUCCACUAGAUAUUUCUAGGAAGGAGGGAGGAGGAAGAAACUUAAGCCAGGAGAACUGCCUGAAAUACAUUGCUACA
rnacentral:ncRNA from 2 species